UGGGGAAUAUUGCACAAUGGGCGAAAGCCUGAUGCAGCGACGCCGCGUGAGUGAUGAAGGCCUUCGGGUUGUAAAGCUCUGUCUUCUGGGACGAUAAUGACGGUACCAGAGGAGGAAGCCCCGGCUAACUACGUGCCAGCAGCCGCGGUAAUACGUAGGGGGCAAGCGUUGUCCGGAUUUACUGGGUGUAAAGGGUGCUCAGGCGGAUUUGUAAGUCAGAGGUGAAAUCUUACAGCUUAACUGUGAAACUGCCUUUGAUACUGCAAGCCUAGAGUAUGGAAGAGAGUGAUGGAAUAUCUGGUGUUGCAGUGAAAUGCGUAGAUAUCAGAUAGAACACCAAUGGCGAAGGCAGUCACUUGGUCCAUUACUGACGCUAAAGCACGAAAGCGUGGGUAGCAAACA
rnacentral:rRNA from 1 species